AAUAAAUUUAAGGGGGUCUUCUAAAUCUUCUAUGGUGUGAACCGUUUAUUA
rnacentral:tRNA from 1 species